AUCCAGUUGACGAGUCCGAAAAUAGGGCGAAACAUGCGUCAAAUUGGAU
rnacentral:hammerhead_ribozyme from 1 species